GCAUAUCAAUAAGCGGAGGAAAAGAAACCAACAGGGAUUGCCUUAGUAACUGCGAGUGAAGCGGCAAGAGCUCAAAUUUGAAAUCUGGCACCUUCGGUGUCCGAGUUGUAAUUUGUAGAAGCAUCUUUUGGAUUGGUCCUUGCAUAUGUUCCUUGGAACAGGACGUCAUAGAGGGUGAGAAUCCCGUUCAUGGUGGGGAAUCCAAUUCUUUGUAAAGUGCUUUCUAAGAGUCGAGUUGUUUGGGAAUGCAGCUCUAAGUGGGUGGUAAAUUCCAUCUAAAGCUAAAUAUUGGCGAGAGACCGAUAGCGAACAAGUACAGUGAUGGAAAGAUGAAAAGAACUCCGAAAGGAGAGUGAAAAAGGACGUGAAAUUGUUGAAAGGGAAGUGCUUGAGAUCAGUCUUAAGGUUUAGUGAUCAGUCUUCCUUUUGGUUGGUGCACUCACUAUUUCUUAGGCCAACAUCAGUUUGGGCGGCAGGAUAAUGACAUUGGAAUGUGGCUCUUUCGGGAGUGUUAUAGCCUUUGUUGAUACUGCCUGCUUGGACUGAGGACUGCGCUUCGGCUAGGAUGUUGGCAUAAUGAUCUUAAGCAGC
rnacentral:rRNA from 1 species